UACGUAGGGUGCGAGCGUUGCCCGGAUUUAUUGGGCGUAAAGGGCGCGUAGGCGGUCACGCACGUCCGUUGUGAAAUCGCUCGGCUCAACUGGGCGGGGUCAGCGGAUACGGCGUGGCUGGAGCAAGCUAGGGGGCAAUGGAAUUCCCGGUGUAGUGGUGGAAUGCGUAGAGAUCGGGAGGAACACCUGUGGCGAAGGCGGCCCCCUGGGCCGGCCCUGACACUGAGACGCGAAGGCGUGGGGAGCGAACGGG
rnacentral:rRNA from 1 species